AUCCAGCUGAUGAGUCCCAAAUAGGACGAAAGGAGCGCCCUGGAU
rnacentral:hammerhead_ribozyme from 1 species